GCCCAGACUCCUACGGGAGGCAGCAGUGAGGAAUAUUGGUCAAUGGGCGGAAGCCUGAACCAGCCAAGUCGCGUGAGGGAUUAAGGCCCUAUGGGUCGUAAACCUCUUUUGUCAGGGAGCAAUGGCGUCCACGUGUGGGCGUAUGGAGAGUACCUGAAGAAAAAGCAUCGGCUAACUCCGUGCCAGCAGCCGCGGUAAUACGGAGGAUGCGAGCGUUAUCCGGAUUUAUUGGGUUUAAAGGGUGCGUAGGCGGGACCUUAAGUCAGCGGUAAAAUUGCGGUGCUCAACGCCGUAGAGCCGUUGAAACUGCAUCCCUUGAGUGCGCGAGAAGUAUGCGGAAUGCGUGGUGUAGCGGUGAAAUGCAUAGAUAUCACGCAGAACUCCGAUUGCGAAGGCAGCAUGCCGGCUCCACACUGACGCUGAGGCACGAAAGCGUGGGUAUCGAACAGGAUUAGAUACCCGAGUAU
rnacentral:rRNA from 1 species